rnacentral:misc_RNA from 1 species
GCCACAACCAACCGGAAUCACGUAUCGUCAACUGGGAAAUCGUUCCAACGCGGAACGAUCUUCCCUGAGAUCUCGAGUCUACGAACCAUCAACCGGCGAGAUAACCUCUACCAUUCUGCCGACGCGGACACCUUUUGGACCACCAGUCAGCCGAUACGGAACUUCCGGAUGCAACAACCGAUUCCGGUCUGAACGAUCGCUAUCAUGAACAAGAAACGAGCGCGGCCUAUCCUUCCGCAAACGAUCCUCUGCUUUCGUUGAGUCUUCCGGCCAGCCGCUACAGGCUUAAUCGACCUAUGACGAUGAGAAUAAAAAAAUCGCAAUUCCGUUUCGAGUCAGC